rnacentral:rRNA from 1 species
AACGCGAAGAACCUUACCAAGGCUUGACAUGCAUUAGAUCGCGUCAGAGUUGGCGUUUCCCUUCGGGGCUGGUGUACAGGUGGUGCAUGGUUGUCGUCAGCUCGUGUCGUGAGAUGUUGGGUUAAGUCCCGCAACGAGCGCAACCCUCGUUCUAUGUUGCCAGCGGUUCGGCCGGGGACUCAUAGGAGACUGCCGGGGUCAACUCGGAGGAAGGUGGGGAUGACGUCAAAUCAUCAUGCCCCUUAUGUCUUGGGCUUCACGCAUGCUACAAUGGCCGGUACAGAGGGCUGCGAUACUGUGAGGUGGAGCUAAUCCCUUAAAGCCGGUCUCAGUUCGGAUUGGAGUCUGCAACUCGACCCCAUGAAGUCGGAGCCGCUAGUAAUCGUAG